rnacentral:rRNA from 1 species
UACGUAGGGUGCGAGCGUUAUUCGGAUUCACUGGGCGUAAAGGGUGCGCAGGCGGCCUUGUGUGUGAGGCGUGAAAGCCCGGGGCUUAACCCCGGAAUUGCACCUCAAACUACACGGCUAGAGCAUUGGAGAGGGUAGCGGAAUUCACGGUGUAGCAGUGAAAUGCGUAGAUAUCGUGAGGAACACCAGAGGCGAAGGCGGCUACCUGGACAAUUGCUGACGCUCAGGCACGAAAGCGUGGGGAGCAAAAGGG